rnacentral:rRNA from 1 species
UUCCGGUUGAUCCUGCGGACCCUUCUGACUAUGGGGGUCCGACUAAGCCAUGCGAGUCAUGGGGCGUGCUCUGCGCGCACCGGCGGACGGCUCAGUAACACGUCGGUAACCUACCCUCGGGAGGGGGAUAACCCCGGGAAACUGGGCUAAUCCCCCAUAGGCCUGAGGUACUGGAAGGUCCUCAGGCCGAAAGGGGCAUCUGCCCGCCCGAGGAUGGGCCGGCGGCCGAUUAGGUAGUUGGUGGGGUAACGGCCCACCAAGCCGAAGAUCGGUACGGGCCAUGAGAGUGGGAGCCCGGAGAUGGACACUGAGACACGGGUCCAGGCCCUACGGGGCGCAGCAGGCGCGAAACCUCCGCAAUGCGCGAAAGCGCGACGGGGGGAUUCCGAGUGCUGGCUCGUGAGAGUCAGCUGUUCUCGAGCCUAAAACGCUCGAGGAGAAAGGGCUGGGUAAGACGGGUGCCAGCCGCCGCGGUAAUACCCGCAGCUCGAGUGGUGGCCACUAUUAUUGGGCCUAAAACGUCCGUAGCCGGUCUGGUAAAUGCCUGGGUAAAUCGUGAGGCUUAACCUUACGAAUUCCAGGUAGACUGCCAGACUUGGGACCGGGAGAGGCUAGAGGUACUCCAGGGGUAGGGGUGAAAUCCUGUAAUCCCAGGGGGACCGCCAGUGGCGAAGGCGCCCGGCUGGAACGGGUCCGACGGUGAGGGACGAAGGCCAGGGGAGCGAACCGGAUUAGAUACCCGGGUAGUCCUGGCUGUAAAGGAUGCGGGCUAGGUGUCGGGCGAGCUUCGGGCUCGCCCGGUGCCGAAGGGAAGCCGUUAAGCCCGCCGCCUGGGGAGUACGGCCGCAAGGCUGAAACUUAAAGGAAUUGGCGGGGGAGCACUACAAGGGGUAGAGCGUGCGGUUUAAUUGGAGCAACGCCGGAAAU